UACGUAGGGGGCAAGCGUUGUCCGGAUUUAUUGGGCGUAAAGAGCGUGUAGGCGGCCAAGUAAGUCUGCUGUGAAAACUCGAGGCUCAACCUCGAGCUGUCGGCGGAAACUAUUUGGCUAGAGUCCGGAAGAGGAGAAUGGAAUUCCCGGUGUAGCGGUGAAAUGCGCAGAUAUCGGGAAGAACACCCGUGGCGAAGGCGGUUCUCUGGGACGGUACUGACGCUGAGACGCGAAAGCGUGGGGAGCGAACAGG
rnacentral:rRNA from 1 species